GUUUAGUCUCAAGUCCAAAUAGAGGGCGCUUCACGUAAUAUGAUCAGACGCGAUAACAUGCCGAGUUCUGAAACCAGUCUCUGUUUUUUAUAUUGUUGAUUGAUGUUUUAAAUGCUGUUUUUCUGUAGAGUUGUCCAUGACAACUAAUGUAAAAGAAAACAGUGUGUGCAAGCAGUAAAAUUGGUAGCAAAUCGGGGUUUAUACGGCUAACAGAACAUGUUUAAGGCAUUCAUCUGGAAUUGGCUGUGUUGAAGUAGUGAUGAGAUGAUUCUAUGCAUUCUGCUAUUAGCAAUGUCUAUCAGUCAGCGUUCCAUCCAGAAGCAUCCCAAAAGGCCAUAUUCCCACUCUUUGGUAUCAUGGACCUAAAAAAACCCACCAGAUUCAAGUAUUUAAUUGUGCUGUACUUUGCAUCCAUUUAUUAUGUCAUGACAUAACAACAUCAGCAGUUUGAGGAAAUUUUUUAUAAAAAAAAACCUAUGUUGCUACUUAUUUGUAGGCUGGUUAAAAAUAUUACUUUAUUUAUUCAAACAUCACAUCUCAAACAAUAAUAUAAGUGACCAAAGACCAAAUUGCAUGUUACAUGUGUUACAUAAUAUUCAUUAAAAAAGGAUAUAUAGGGGCCUAUAAUAAAAGACUAUACAAUUAAAAUGUUGUAACAUCAGAAAAAAGUACAAAAUGGAAAAAUCAAAGUGAUAAAAAAAAAUUACAACAAAUAAUUUGAGCAACUAAAUAAUAAAGUAAGGGGGCAUCUCAUAUUGCCAAGUUUGCUGUUAGUCAAGAAUAACAUUAUAAUUUAAAAAUUAUAAUUAUAAUAAAAAUUAUUGGAGAGCUGUGGACAAUAGGCCAGGGUCUAAGCCUUAGUAGUAGUAUAGUUGUAUGGUAGUAGGGUAAAUAUUUAUUAAUAAUUAUUAUAUUACAGUAUUGAGGUGUAGAAAUAAAGGGGAAAAUAAACUAUUUGGGCCUUAAACAGGUUGCUCUGCUAGGUACUUCUUCAGAGAAAGAAGGCGAACUUGUCAUGCAAACUAGGCCUAGUGUUGCAUUGAUCUUUCUUGCAUCAUGAUUGAUGAUAUGGGAUAGGGAUGGUAGGUCCAUCUUCCAUCUACGCCAAGGGUAGGCCUUGCCUAGACUGGGCCUAGAUAGGGUCAUGAGAUGCAUCCCUCCUUACAAUUUUACCUAGAUCGUUGUGGGUUACGUAUACAGUAAAAAUAGUGAAAACUUAUUCUGAGAAAAACCAUAGUCUGCAAUUGGUGAAUCAAACCUAUACUUUCUUGGGAUCACUCUCACUCGCACCGUAUCCGUAUUCGAGUGCGAGUUGGUUGACUCUUGUGCCAACUUGUGCGAUGAUUUUAUCUUAUCAUUAGCCAAUCAGAGCGCUUUAUAUGUUUCCCUAUGCUUGGCUCUUCACGAAAAAAAAAAAAAAAAAAAUCGCGGCCCGCUGG